AGAUCAUCGCUGGUAUCCUCGCCUACGCCUACUACCAGCAGGUGAGAGGCCUGGGCAGGCCAUUCAGAGAUAGACAUGCACAGGCGGGGCGGACACACACAGAUGCACACGCGUGGCUAGCCCCGACCCCCACCCCCAUGGUCCCAGAGCUGACCAACAUGCUACUGGGCCCUGGAGGUGGGGUCUAGGUCUCUGCAGGGGCACAUGGGGUCAGGCAGGUGUCCAGGGGAUCCAGAAGCCCUCUCUGCCUCUGCCACACUCCAUUGUCACCCUGGUGACGGUCCUGGCACCACCCAACCUCCCCUCACGCCGAGGUCUGACCUCAGCCCUUCCCUGUGGCUCUGAGCCGGGCCCUGGGCCUCCCCGCCGGCCAUCCUGGGGCUCUGCCAGCCCCACCUUGGAAGGUCUUAGACUGAGGCUGAAGUUUCCUGCACCCCAACCGCAGCUGAACACGGAGCUCAAGGAGAACCUGAGGGACACCAUGACCAAGCGCUACCACCAGCCGGGCCAUGAGGCUGUGACCAGCGCCGUGGACCAGCUGCAGCAGGAGUUCCACUGCUGUGGCAGCAACAACUCACAGGACUGGCGAGACAGUGAGUGGAUCCGCUCAGGGGAGGCUGGUGGCCGCGUGGUCCCUGACAGCUGCUGCAAGACGGUGGUGGCUGGUUGUGGGCAGCGGGACCAUGCCUCCAACAUCUACAAGGUGGAGGGCGGCUGCAUCACCAAGUUGGAGACCUUCAUCCAGGAGCACCUGAGGGUCAUUGGGGCUGUGGGGAUCGGCAUU
rnacentral:sRNA from 1 species